UUCAGAAAGGAGCUUCACCAAAGACAUUUUAAUGAGUAAGUCUGAUUGCACAUUUACUUAGUGAGGGUAACAAAGUACAAAAGGCAGGGUAAAGUCAUUGUGAAUAAUGCAAAUGCAGAUGAUGCUGGAAAUGACAGAGCCUGAGUCUGCUGGCCCAGAAGGCAUUUUUGAGGCUGCUGUUGAAAGGGUCAGGGGAAGGCCUGGAUACCUUCAGUGGUUGCCAACCAGCUUCUGGGUUGUUUGGAUUUCAUAACUUCUACCCAGGAAACUCAACUGAAGCCUGCACAGCUCUCCCUGCUAACUGACAACGAAAAACUCUGCCUUCCUCUUUGUGUCAGCUCUGACGUUCCUGAGCUGCUGCGACUCACCCAAGAAAAGCCUUUUCUGCUGGAGCACUCACACAAAACUACUGCUUAUCCUCUGCAAAGGCAUAGAAAGAAGGAGCAACAAGAGCCUGUGGAGGGAUUGGACCUAAAUAAAGGUUAAAAUCAAGCAGACGUGUUGAAGAUACUGGAACAAGUAGUGAGAAAAAAUAGCAGAGUACGUGUAGUUGUGCAAGUAAAUAAAGAAAUUCUUUGUUAUUUUUGGCA
rnacentral:lncRNA from 1 species